GGCCUCGUCGUCUAGUGGACUAGGACGGUUGGUUCUCAUCCAACAAAUCGCGGGUCCGAAUCCCGCCGAGGUCACCA
rnacentral:tRNA from 1 species